UACGGGAGGCAGCAGUGAGGAAUAUUGGUCAAUGGGCGAGAGCCUGAACCAGCCAAGUCGCGUGAAGGAAGACAGUCCUAAGGAUUGUAAACUUCUUUUAUACGGGAAUAACGGGCGAUACGAGUAUUGCAUUGAAUGUACCGUAAGAAUAAGCAUCGGCUAACUCCGUGCCAGCAGCCGCGGU
rnacentral:rRNA from 1 species